rnacentral:rRNA from 1 species
GUCAUUGAUGCCAUGCUUCCAGGAAAAGCCUCUAAGCUUCAGAUUGUAAGGAAUCGUACCCCAAACCGACACAGGUGGUCGGGUAGAGAAUACCAAGGCGCUUGAGAGAACUCGGGUGAAGGAACUAGGCAAAAUGGUACCGUAACUUCGGGAGAAGGUACGCUCUUAUCAGUGAAGUCCCUUGCGGAUGGAGCAGACGAGAGUCGCAGAUACCAGGUGGCUGCAACUGUUUAUUAAAAACACAGCACUGUGCAAAAUCGUAAGAUGACGUAUACGGUGUGACGCCUGCCCGGUGCCGGAAGGUUAAUUGAUGGGGUUAGACUUCGGUCGAAGCUCUUGAUCGAAGCCCCGGUAAACGGCGGCCGUAACUAUAACGGUCCUAAGGUAGCGAAAUUCCUUGUCGGGUAAGUUCCGACCUGCACGAAUGGCGUAAUGAUGGCCACGCUGUCUCCACCCGAGACUCAGUGAAAUUGAAAUCGCUGUGAAGAUGCAGUGUACCCGCGGCUAGACGGAAAGACCCCGUGAACCUUUACUACAGCUUGGCACUGAACAUUGAACCUACAUGUGUAGGAUAGGUGGGAGACUUUGAAACCGCGUCGCUAGAUGUGGUGGAGUCGUCCUUGAAAUACCACCCUUGUAGUUUUGAUGUUCUAACGUUGGUCCCUGAAUCGGGAUUACGGACAGUGCCUGGUGGGUAGUUUGACUGGGGCGGUCUCCUCCCAAAGAGUAACGGAGGAGCACGAAGGUGGGCUAAACACGGUUGGACAUCGUGUGGUUAGUGCAAUGGCAUAAGCCCGCUUGACUGCGAGAAUGACAAUUCGAGCAGGUGCGAAAGCAGGUCAUAGUGAUCCGGUGGUUCUGAAUGGAAGGGCCAUCGCUCAACGGAUAAAAGGUACUCCGGGGAUAACAGGCUGAUACCGCCCAAGAGUUCAUAUCGACGGCGGUGUUUGGCACCUCGAUGUCGGCUCAUCACAUCCUGGGGCUGAAGUCGGUCCCAAGGGUAUGGCUGUUCGCCAUUUAAAGUGGUACGCGAGCUGGGUUUAGAACGUCGUGAGACAGUUCGGUCCCUAUCUGCCGUGGGCGUUGGAAAAUUGAAGGGGGCUGCUCCUAGUACGAGAGGACCGGAGUGGACGAACCUCUGGUGUUCGGGUUGUCAUGCCAAUGGCAUUGCCCGGUAGCUAAGUUCGGAAUCGAUAACCGCUGAAAGCAUCUAAGCGGGAAGCGAGCCCUGAGAUGAGUUUUCCCUGACGCUAUAAGCGUCCUUAAGGGUUGUUCAAGACUAGAACGUUGAUAGGCAGGGUGUGUAAGUGCUGCGAGGCAUUGAGCUAACCUGUACUAAUUGCCCGUGAGGCUUAACCAUACAACACCCAAGGGGUU